rnacentral:rRNA from 1 species
GAUCAUGGCUCAGGAUGAACGCUGGCGGCGUGCCUAACACAUGCAAGUCGAACGAGAUGCGUAUCGGAAAGCUUCGGCCGGAAGAUGCGUUAUCUAGUGGCGGACGGGUGAGUAACACGUGGGUAACCUGCCUUAUGGAGGGGGAUAACAGAGAGAAAUCACUGCUAAUACCGCAUAAGCACACAGUACCGCAUGGUAGAGUGUGAAAAGAUUUAUCACCAUAAGAUCGG